AGGGCAUCCUCUUCCCUUGACUACAGUGAUUGGCUCAGGGUUGCACAGGGGACUCGAACUGGUGCAGAUGGAGUCAACCCCAGGACAUUGGCGUGAGUGUUGGGAAAGAUGUGUCCUCCUUCUGCUUGGGUGACCGCAAUGGGAGGCCUUCCCUGCCACCUCCAGGAAAAUGUGAGGCCGGAGUGAAGCUCACAGAGAGGCAAGAAAGGUCUGGGAAGAAGAGACCUGACCUGGCCUUGGGGUGCAGAAGUGGUGGCCACUGGUGGACACAGAGCUGCUCACUGCAAAUCCUGUCAUUUGAUUCAUCUUCCUGAGAAGACUACGACCUUGUGCAGGAUGCUGUGUUAAAGUCAUUCCUCACCUCCUGCAUUUCCACCUCUGCCUCUGUGGGUCGCGAGCCACUUCACUUCCAUUUUCCUGUCUGCAAAAUAGGUUGAAGUCUGCCAAGCAGGCUGGGAAAAGCAUCAUGGUGUCUCAGGAUGGGGCCCCCUGUCCCCAGUGCUCCAGAAGAAGUCAAUGUUAUUAUUCUGGGGCAGUCAUAUCCUGAUCAUUAAUUUAUGACAAUGUUAGAAACAACAACAAUUAUAAUAAUGACUGGUUUUUAUGGAGUCGUUCUUACUACUCUAGCAGGAAUAAUCAAUUUAUUAUGUCAUUAAACAUCCUAAUAGCUAUUUGAGGCAGAUUCUAUUACCAGCAUUUUUUAUCUUAAAAAUGAAGUAACAGACACAGAGAAGUGGAAUAACUUUCCCCAUGUCCUCCAGUUAGAAACUAAUCCAGGAGUCUGUCUUCCACACUGACUCCUUCUGCGCCAGGCUGUGCUUCCACCGAUGUGUCCUCAGUGCCAGGUGGGCAUGGCCCAUGGCUAGACUUGAAGGAUACAGCCAUGGUCCCUGACCUCAUGGAGGACGCAGUUUUUAACAUCCAGGCUUUAACACUCCGCAGACCACUUGAUUAGCACAUAGCACCCAUAUUGAGAUGAUCCGUUGACAGGCUUGUCUCCCUGGACCGGGCACCCCUCAAGGGAGAGGACCCUGCUUCAUCACCCCCGUAUAGCCCACUGUCUGGCAAGAAUAUUAAUGUUUCAUCUUUCCUGGGACUUUAUUCUGGAGUUAUAUUUUGCUGUGCUUGGUUCUGUUUGAUUGUUCCAACAUCAGGACCGUAUCGAUUUGCUUAUAGUGGCUCUGAAAUCACUUAAGACCAGUGGUCCCACCCCUAGUUGAUUCCAUCUUGUUUUUUUUUGGGCUGUUCUUUUUUUUUUGAGAUGGAGUUUCUGCUCUUGUUGCCCGUGCUGGAGUGCUUGGCAACUCGGCUCACUGUAACCUCUGCCUCCUGGGUUCAAGCGAUUCUCCCGCCUCAGCCUCCUGAGUAGCUGGGAUUACAGGUGUAUGCCACCACACCUCACUAAUUUUUGUAUUUUUAGUAGAGACGGGGUUUCGACAUGUUGGCCAAGCUGGUCUCGAACUCCUGACCUCAGGUGAUCUGCCCACCUCCACCUCCCAAAGUGCUGGGAUUACAGGCGUGAGCCACCGCACCUGGUCUCCUUGGCUGUUCUUAAACAUGGGCUCUUGCGUAAGAAUUUGAAGAUAAUUUUAACCUGGAGUCGGUCUGUGUAAAUUUAAACCCUGCCUCUACCUCUCACAACGUGGGCCAGUCACUCACUCCCUUGUGUCUCAGUUUCCUCAUCUGUAAGUGGUGGGUGGGAACAAUGACAGGUGAAUGGAGCUUCAAAGAAGUUGAGUGAUGUCAGGUGUGCUAAGGCAGUUGCAACAGUGCCCAGAGUGUGGUAAUCGCUCAAUCAAUGGUAGCUUUUCUUUUCUUUUCUUUUCUUUUUGAGAUGAAAUCUCACUCUGUCACCCAGGCUGGAGUGCAGUGGCAUGAUUUCAGCUCACUGCAACUUCUGCCUCCAGGGUUCAAGCGAUGUUCCUGACUCAGCCUCCUAAGUAGCUGGGACUACAGGCACAUGCCACCAUGCCAGGCUAAUUUUUGUAUUUUUAGUAGAGACAGGGUUUCACUAUGUUGGCCAGGCUGGUCUUGAACUCCUGACCUCCAGUGAUCCACCCACCUUGGCCUCCCAAAGUGCUGGGAUUACAGGCAUGAGCCACUGUGCCCGGCCUCAAUAAAUGGUAGCUAUUUAAUUAUCAUUAUUAUUGAAAUUUAUGUGAAAUAGGAAGUCUUCAGU
rnacentral:lncRNA from 1 species